GCUGUGAUGGCCGAGUGGUUAAGGCGUUGGACUUGAAAUCCAAUGGGGUUUCCCCGCGCAGGUUCAAACCCUGCUCACAGCG
rfam:Larimichthys crocea isolate SSNF unplaced genomic scaffold scaffold23, whole genome shotgun sequence.